rnacentral:rRNA from 1 species
UACGUAGGCAGAAUGCCAAGUAUCUUGUGAAAUCCCUCGGCUCAACCGAGGAAUUGCAGGGUAAACUGGCAUUCUUGAGGCAGGUAGAGGUAACUGGAACUCAUGGUGGAGCGGUGGAAUGCGUAGAUAUCAUGGGGAACGCCAAAGGUGAAGACAAGUUACUGGGCCUGUCCUGACGCUGAGGUACGAAAGCGUGGGUAGCAAACAGGAUUAGAUACCCUGGUAGUCC